GACGAACGCUGGCGGCGUGCUUAACACAUGCAAGUCGAACGGAAAGGCCCUGCUUUUGUGGGGUGCUCGAGUGGCGAACGGGUGAGUAACACGUGAGUAACCUGCCCUUGACUUUGGGAUAACUUCAGGAAACUGGGGCUAAUACCGGAUAGGAGCUCCAGCUGCAUGGUGGGGGUUGGAAAGUUUCGGCGGUUGGGGAUGGACUCGCGGCUUAUCAGCUUGUUGGUGGGGUAGUGGCUUACCAAGGCUUUGACGGGUAGCCGGCCUGAGAGGGUGACCGGCCACAUGGGGACUGAGAUACGGACCAGACUCCUACGGGAGACAGCAGUGGGGAAUAUUGCACAAUGGGCGGAAGCCUGAUGCAGCAACGCCGCGUGCGGGAUGACGGCCUUCGGGUUGUAAACCGCUUUCGCCUGUGACGAAGCGUGAGUGACGGUAAUGGGUAAAGAAGCACCGGCUAACUACGUG
rnacentral:rRNA from 1 species